rnacentral:rRNA from 1 species
ACCCGCUGAAUUUAAGCAUAUAAGUAAGUGGUGGAAAUUAAACCAACUGGGAUCUCUUCAGUAAUUGCGCAUGAACCAGGAUAUGCUUAGCUUGACAAAUGGAGCUGCUGGCUCUGAAUUGUAUUGUGGGAAUGUAUUACCAACAGAGGUGCAGGUGUCAGCCAUUUGAAAGAAAGCAUCAAUGAGGGUGAGAGUCCUGUUUGUCAUGUGCAGCCUUCUGUGCACGGUGUAUAUUUGCUGAGUCACACUCCUCGGCAUUGGAAUGCAAAGUGGGUGGUAAGUUUCAUGCAAAGGUAAAUAUGCAAUUGAGACUGAUAGCGCACAAGUACCAUGAGGGACAUAUGAAAAGGACUUUGAACAGAGAAUUAAAUGAGUUUGUAUUUGCUAAACGCAAAGUAAACAGACUUGAUUUCCUCAGUGAGAUUGUAGUGCUUGCUUGACAAUGGGUUUUGGCUGCAAGUGCAAUAAUUCUUGCUUUGUGUGCCAGUUUUUAUGUGGACAUUUGAUUACCUUUGCACAUGAAUGGUAAUUUUCCUGCGGGGUGUGGAUUGCAUAUGCAUGUAAUGAUUUGCAUGUUUGUUAAAUGUGUCUGGUGUAUUUGUUUGUGUCCUUGUCCUUGAGGUUGCUUUCUCCCUUGGGCUUACAUGCCCUGGCACACACAUUCUGGCAAAAUGCUUCUGCUUGACCCGUCUUGAAACACGGUCCAAGG